UUAUCCGAAAGCCUGCACUUUGGAUCCGUGUCUGGCACAAGUGGGGAAGACCUGAGAGACAGAAGAGGAGGAGGAGGUAUUAGGUCUUUCACUUCUCAUUGCUUUCUUGGACAAGGCUGGAGAUGGUGAGGGAGAGAUGCUGCACCACCUACACAAGAAUGCAGUCCUGCCUGGACAGGCCACUUGAAACCUCCUCCUUUUGUCACCAUGAAGUGCUUCAGCCCAUGUAACUCCUUCUCUUCCUCAUCCUUUCAUGGGAGAUCCUUUCACCUGACUUCAGUUUCAGAAACUUUGGCAUGUAGGUUCAGCUAGUGUCUCAUCCUUCCUCUACAGCCUACAGAAAAAAUAAGGCAUUUCCAGAAUACUUUGUCAACAGCCGUAGCUGGGUGAAUCAGAUCUCAUCCUUCCUGCGUAUGUUUCUCCUUAGCGGGCAUCUUUUGCAGGGAGCUUUGGCAGGACAUUUUCUCUUGCGGGUGUAUUGAGAAAUACUGUUUUAGGGAUUUAAAAUUUAAAGGGUUGCAUGUUUCCUGAUUGCAGAGUAGAAGACUCCAUGCAAGCACGUGACCGGGGAAUAGUUUCAGUGGUUUAAAAGCUUUUGCUCGGUCAAGGAAUUAGAUACUUGGCAGCAGGAGGGGAGAGGGUGUUAAUGAACAUAUAGGUGCCUUUCUUCUGCAUUUUAAAGAAAGAUGGUACUGUUUUGUUUCUGGGUUUGUUGCUUUUUUUUCAGAAAGAAUAAUACUGGGUUUUAUUGUUAUUUAACAUGUCUGGAUAUGGCAGAGAUUAAAUACUCAGUGUUGCAGAUGUUGUGGGUGCAAUUAGGAGAAAACAUUUAAAAACCUGUCAGUAGCAUUUGUAGGUACUAUAACUGUGUCAUGCCUAUUAGGUGUCUGUAGAUUCUUGUUUACCUUUCAAGUACCACUGCCUUCCAAGGAGCUGCAUUUGUAUUUUUUAUUACAUUUUGUGUCUGACUUAUUUCAGCACAACUUCCCCUGUGCAUCUCUAACCAUCUGUCUGCUAAAGGUGCUUCUGUCCCUGUAGCAAUACAGACACCUGAUAAUCUCGAGUAUGUCCAUCCACGUCACAGCCUCAUGUGUUACAGCUGGGGAACCGAGGCAGAGAGCACAUUAAGGGCAGACUCCUAUAGGCACUUAAGAUGCUUAGGUCCCGUUACUUUUAUAAAGCAUAACUUCCAGAUUAAUCAAGGUAGGCAAGGUACUGAGCUGUUUCUUGUCCAGCAGCAGAGAGGAAGCCGGAGGAAGGCAAAGUUGGGAAGUAAUCCCCAAUAUUCAAUGCUGGUGCUGUUCUUUUCAGAGGGCAUUCAGGGUAAAUCUGUACGCUCAUGGAAAUUGCUCAUUUGUUCAAUAGCGUUGAUAAUAAAAAUAAUAGAUUGAAAGUCAGCACAAUAUUCAUUAUUUAGUCUUUAUAUUUUUUAUGUGAUCUGAAUACAUUCUUUUGAUGUCCCUUUAUUGCACUGUUGGUUUAUUUUCAUUUUUUUAUGUCUUCAGGUGUUACACACUUUUUUCUAAUUCAGGAGAAUAAAACACUUCAGAUCUUGUCUUCCA